AGUCUUCGGCAAUGGACGCAAGUCUGACCGAGCAACGCCGCGUGAGUGAGGAAGGUUUUCGGAUUGUAAAACUCUGUUGUUAGGGAAGAACAAGUACCGUUUGAAUAAGGCGGUACCGUGACGGUACCUAACGAGAAAGCACCGGCUAACUACGUGCCAGCAGCCGCGGUAAUACGUAGGGGGCAAGCGUUGUCCGUAAUUAUUGGGCGUAAAGCGCGCGCAGGCGGUUUCUUAAGUCUGAUGUGAAAGCCCACGGCUCAACCGUGGAGGGUCAUUGGAAACUGGGAAACUUGAGUGUAGGAGAGGAAAGCGGAAUUCCACGUGUAGCGGUGAAAUGCGUAGAGAUGUGGAGGAACACCAGUGGCGAAGGCGGCUUUCUGGCCUAUAACUGACGCUGAGGCGCGAAAGCGUGGGGAGCAAAC
rnacentral:rRNA from 1 species